ensembl:miRNA
CCAACAUUGUGGUCAUCAAAGUGGUUGCCCUCUCUGAGGCAGAACUGGAAAGUGCUUCCACUUUGUGCCUAGCUGCGUGGG